rnacentral:rRNA from 1 species
AACGAACGCUGGCGGCGUGCCUAACACAUGCAAGUCGAGCGCGAAAAGGGCAACCUGAGUAGAGCGGCGCACGGGUGCGUAACACGUGGGUAAUCUGCCCUGAAGUUUGGGAUAACCUUUGGAAACUUAGGCUAAUACCGAAUGAGCUCACAGAGACUUCGGUCUCAGUGGGAAAAGUAGACCUCUAUUUAUAAGUUUACUCUUCAGGAUGAGCCCGCGGCCCAUCAGCUAGUUGGCGGGGUAACGGCCCACCAAGGCUACGACGGGUAGCUGGUCUGAGAGGACGAUCAGCCACACUGGAACUGAGACACGGUCCAGACUCCUACGGGAGGCAGCAGUGGGGAAUUUUCCACAAUGGGCGCAAGCCUGAUGGAGCAACGCCGCGUGUGUGAUGAAGGUCUUCGGAUCGUAAAGCACUUUCGACUGGGACGAAAAACCUCUGGCUAACAUCCAGGGGCCUGACGGUACCAGGAGAAGAAGCACCGGCUAACUCUGUG